GCCUAUUCUCCGAAGUGUGCACUAUUGAAAUCUUAAAACAGGAACACAACAACAACAAUACAACAUCCUGCAACACCCUGCGGGCGACUUUAACUUAACUCAGCAUGGAUUUCAGCCGGCUCAGUUGUCAUGUGCCUGGGAAUCUAUCCAGAACCAAAUUUCGCUCAUUCGAUGUAUUACUCUUUUCUUUAUCAUGCAUAGAAUGCCUAUCCAUGAUCAUGAAGUGGUACAAAUGCUUAUGUUUGUGCUGAAUUGCCUUGUGGGUGAAUACAUACCAGAGCUUCAUCAAGUUACCCGCAUAAAUGGCUACCUUAGUGACAACGUCCUCGAACAACUGGAAAUUAUUCUAACUGAGAUACGAAGAUACGAUGUUUUGGAAAUUUACAUCAAACCAUUGAAGGUGAAAUAACUUGAUAGGUCCUGUCCAAUUUUCAUAUUUUCCAGGCAACGUAUCACGAUCGAACAAAUCGUGUAUGUGUAAAAUGCAGUGGAGAAGCCAGCCUGACAAUUUGGUCAUGCUAUGCAAAUUUUAAAAUAAAUCAUCAUUAUUAAUUUCUUUAGAAAUUCAUUGUUUGCACGGACUAUGAACACGGAAAUAUUUGCAUAGCAUGACCAAAUUAAUUGUCGGGCUGGCUUCGCCACUGGUAAAAUAUAUCU